CUUUCGCGAAUGCUUAUUUUGGAAUCAUGACACAUCUUAUCUUCCAUGUUUACCUUCUUCUGUUUCAUUAGAGAAUAAAUUAUAGUCGUGAAUAUCUUCUCAUUUUUAUCUUUAUCAGUACAUUCUGAUUUCUGUUCCUGCGAAUCCUACUUGAAGAAUAUGUUUAAAAAUCUUUCCACAAACAGGUUUUAAAAAUCUGGCAUUGCCUCAUUAUAGCAAAUAAUAUGUGAUUCGCUCUCGAUCUAAAAUAAUUUGUUGCUAUGUAAAUAGGACUAAGAAAACAUUGGAACGAAGUAGUUUUGUAGAAGAUGUCACUUGAUCUUAGACGUAAAACAUAUUUGCUUUUAUACUAACAAUACCUGUGACAUAACAGUCCCUAAAAGCUCUCUGGAGACGAGAUGGUAAUUUUUAUAAAGGCACGAGGUAUUUCAAAAAUGUAGCUAUUUUUUUAUUAAGUUAAAAAAUUCAAAAACUUUUUCUAUAUUAUUUGGUACUCUGGAAUACAACAUCUCUCUAGAAAUACUAAUCAUCUCAUCUAAAUUUCCAAUCUACUGAAUAUAGAGAACAUGAGAGGAAACAACGGGAGGAUGGGGGAUGAGAUCUACUUAUACGACAUUAAUGUAUUGCCUCCAGGAUCUUUUAUUAUCGCAAAACUAGCCUUUUCACCAUUUUGCGAUUUAACUUUAUCCUGACACCCCAGAGCAGGUUUUUGAAACAAAACCAACUUGGAAAGAGCCCUAAUCAUGCCUGAUGUAGCGGACUCCUCUCCAUAGCGGAAACAUUUUUUUAUUUAUUUUCAAAUUUGCAUCCAUUUUAAGUCAAAACAAACAAGUACUUUUGUUUAUUUCCACCAAAAGAUGCUAUUUUGAUUAUUUUUUUCCUGAUAAGACGGAAAGUCUAGGCCUGUCCAUGUUUAAUAAGUAAGGCUAAUGACAGAUAUCACUCUCGUUUAAAAUGGCGUAAGAUACGCUAGAGGAAAAAAGAAAUUACAACCAACUGAGUUAAUACAAGGUAAAUUUUUGGUUAUGAAAGUCUAACUGGACUAUAGUCAUUCCUAUUUUAAAACUUUGGACGUUGGUUCUGAACUUGGAAAAAGACUACAUUACAUUCUAACUCUUGUAUAACUAUAAUAAUAUUUUAUUUCUUUAUUGCCCUCUUUAUUGUUAUGUUUAUCUCUAUGUGCCCAUCUGUUUAUAUUGUGCCUAGCUCAAAAAAAAAUUCUCAUGGAAAUAUUAGGAAAAAAACUUCUCUAUUUUUUUAAAACCAAUUGGGUUUCUUCAAAAUAAAAAUUGGCAACGUUUCAAGAGUGAUACUAUUGUUACAUAUAUGCCGCACAACUCGACGUUACUUUCCUGCUACUCAAUUUCCCACAAAGUCUUUGUUUUUGUCGGAAUUGUCAGUACGUCAUCGCAACAAUUCAUCUUGUUUGUACACACAACAUUUUCACAUUAAGGGUGGGUUUUUAUUAGAGCUAAUAAUGUUUCCAAGCAUGUCUCCGCUACUUAAAUGCAAUCUUAUUGGUUAGCUUAAUUAUUUACAGCUAUAAUUCUUACUUUUAAUGAACAAAAAAAUGAAAAAUCAAAUAAAAAAGCAACAUGAAUGGUUGCAUCUGUUAUUGCAAAACUCUCUACCCCGUGUAAAUCCGCUUUAAGAAACAAUACAAGCGUAAAGGAGAAUGGUAACGAAUAAAGAAUAAUCAUAAUGGCUGCAAUAUUAUUUGGCGGGAAAGAAUAACAUUGGGCUAUUUCUAUCUCGAAAUCGAAAGGGACCAGAAGAUUUGUUCGAGAUAGACAAAAGACGUGCAGAGAGAAAAAACGGCAAAAAACCCGUAUAUUUAUCGGAGAAAGUUAUAAUUUAGAGUUAGAGGGUAUUCAGGAUAGAGAUAACCCACUUUAAGUAGAGGAAACCAAUGAACUGGAUUGGAAUUGAUAGAACUUCUACACCAACAUUUAAGAAGCAUAUUGGUGACUCAGGCGAAUAAAUCUUAUGUUCCAUUGCUGGCCCUUGCACACAAAGAGAAAAGAUAAACUCAUAUUUACAUAUGAAUAAAUAAAUAUGCCUUUUGUUUUUUUAAAGAGACCAAUGAACUUCCAGACAUCAUUUUUUUCUCGAAUUUACCAGCCAAUGAAACAUCAAAUCUUAACAAAACUGGUUUCCUAUUGGUUACUACAAAACUAACCCUCAAUGCUUCCUGUAUUAUCGUCUUUUCACCUGCCAUCCUAGACGAGUUUCAAGCAGUUGAGUAAAAAAGUUUUUGAACCUCGUAGACAUGAAUGGUAUUUUUGUCUGUGUUGAAGUAUUCUACUGAUGUAUGGUUGAGAGAAGUUAUUUUGAGAAGAAUACAAACAAACGAAACAUGACAAGUACAGAGAGAUGGUAUUGUCCAUCGUCUUGCGUCAACUGAACUCACCCACAGAGCUUCGUAACCACUCGCUGUUCUAAACGUAAAUCACCGCACAAAAUAACAGAGACAAGCUUUAAAGAACGGUAAAGGAACGAGCGUUUUAUGUCCAAGAUAUCUUUACACGUUUCCACAAAA